UGCUAUCUGGGAUAGCUUACAAAUUAAUAAAAAUUAAAUUUUCAGAUUUCUGAAAAAUCCAGAAAUAUGUAAAAAAUGAGUUGAAAAUUGCGGAUUGCAGGAGAGAGAUGAUGUAUCCCAUUUGUUUCUUUGCUCAUUUCAUUUUAAAGUACCUCGGAAUUUAAUUGUACAAGAAAAAUGGAAACUAUCUCUUGGUAUUAUACCCAACUUGGAUAUUACUGAUGUCUCAACAACAAAUGUAACAACUUUACCAGAAAUAUCUUUAAAAUCAUCCACCAAUAUUAUUAUCAAAUGUGCUAAAAGAUAGUACUAAUAUACCAAAAUCAAUUGAAACAUCUUUAAAUAUAUCUGAUGAUAUAAAUUGUGAUUGUGAUGUUCCAUCAACAUCAAAGGUUUCUUAUUCAAAUUCUGAAGAGGACUGCUAUUCUCCUCCAAAGAAACGCUUUUUUGCAGAACUUAGAUAUAUAUCAGAAAUCAAUAGCUUUGAUGUUAGUAUACCGAGAAAAGCAAGGAGAGUAAUUAAAUUUAUGAAAACAGAGGACGAAAAGAAACGCAAACAAAUAAAAUCUUUACAAGACCAAAAUAGAAGGCUUGUAAUGCGAAUUGCUACAUUACAGGAUUUAAUGUCUCAUUUAAAAGAAUCAAGUUUAAUUUCUGAUGAUGCUGGAGAUCAUUUAAUGUAAAAACAGAAAGAGAAGAAAGAUUUGUAGCGUCAAGUCAACUCCACUAAACCGGUUACGCCAGCAUAUGCGUAUAACGUUCGUAGUACAUGAUUACCUAUAUAUAUUGUAUGUCUAUCUCACUUUCUUGGCGUCGCUACCGCCUAUUGUGAGGAUACGCCACUAGCAUUAUAGGAGUAUUACAUAUGUGCUAGAGACACGUACGUGAACGGGUUCGCGUAUGUGCGGCAGUCCAGCGCCAGCGCCGAGGGACACCAUUUCUGCCGGUGCGACUACAGUCAGAAUAUGUUUUCCAAAUGAUUACUGAAGGCUUGCGCAAGCUCCGAAUUUCUUACUCCCAACAUUUCAAAACAUUUUACGAUAAGGAAGAAAAAACUUAGAAUGUCAUCUUUAAAAGGCAGUGACGAUUAAAAACACUCGAUAAUUUUAUGUUUUAUCUGUUUCAAUAAGUACGAUAGAAUGCAAAAUUAUUUUAUACCGGAAUCAGUCUGUUACACGCAAGAUUAUGCAAUAAUCUUUAAUGAUUUUUUUUGUAUGUUAUGCAUUGUUAUACAUAAUUAUACUUAUAAUGUUUGAUAUUUGGUAAUUUUAUGUUCCUACUAUUUCGUUAAUUAAAAACCGCAAAUUUAAAAACAAGUUAGAAAACGCAAAAUUUAUAAGUUGCUAAUGCUAGUAUAAUAGCUAUUUAGCAAAAGGAAAAUUGCAAAUCUUCCCGCGCCGCCGGGUAGUAAUCGCCCGCCGUGUUGAGAAUCGACAGGCUUUUCACACAUAAAUAUCUUAAAAUAUUUUUUCUCGGAAACAACAAUCUUCAAAUUUUUGUUUACGCUGUAGAAGAACUGAAAGUAAAUAUAAAUAAUUUUUUAACAUUUUCGAUUCCUUUUUUUUUUUAUAACGGAGAGGAAAUGCGUUAUCGCAUACCCCAGGCCCCGGGGGGGAGGCCUGGUAGUUAUGUGGGGCUCUUCCCCGCUGACAACGUGUCGACGGAGACAUACCCACUGAAACCUCUCCGAGUGUCCUGCCCUGGUCCGUGACUGGGGGGCUCCGGGAACGCGUGCAGCAUACUUUCGGAGCCCCCCGGACCCGGUCGGCCUGAGCCGACUCAGCACGCCAGGUGCGCCCAACAUGGUCGCACCCGGCAGGGCUUGUGGGCCUGAUCCGCCCUAGGUCGGGGGAGGGGGACACCAUCCCCCCCGGCCUCUUCCUCUGCUGUUUCGGGGGUAAAGCCCGGGGUAUCCGACCCCGCCGUAACCCCGGGCCUCUUCGCGCCGCACUGACGGUGGCGCGGUCCUCCCUACUACCUUGGGGGAGGAGAGAGAAGAUCCUUCCCUCUCCCCCCGCCCGGCGAGGUAGUGGGGGGAGCGACUCCGCGUUAUACCGCAGGGUCGCCCCCCCCCCCCAGACCGUCAGGUCAGAUCUGCCUCGCCGGGCUUACCACCGAUGU